GUAAUGACUCCAUUCAUAGUUUUCAAAUAUUACAAGUUCACAAGUUUAACGAGAAACAUGCUUAUCAAGUACCAUCAUUUCUAGUCUAGACUUCCAACAACAACAAUCAUCCACAAACAGUCUACGAAGCCUCUAACUACAAUAGAAGAGUAAUAGGGAAAUGCUGGCAACAAGGCUCGCACUAUGAAGUCCGCAAAGCUUUUAUGCGACCGCAUAAUGGUCCCCAGAAACACG
rnacentral:lncRNA from 1 species